rnacentral:rRNA from 1 species
AACGGACGCUGGCGGCAUGCCUAACACAUGCAAGUCGAACGAAGGCUUCGGCCUUAGUGGCGCACGGGUGCGUAACGCGUGGGAAUCUGCCCUUUGGUUCGGAAUAACAGCUGGAAACGGCUGCUAAUACCGGAUGAUGACGAAAGUCCAAAGAUUUAUCGCCAGAGGAUGAGCCCGCGUUGGAUUAGGUAGUUGGUGGGGUAAAGGCCUACCAAGCCGACGAUCCAUAGCUGGUCUGAGAGGAUGAUCAGCCACACUGGGACUGAGACACGGCCCAGACUCCUACGGGAGGCAGCAGUGGGGAAUAUUGGACAAUGGGCGCAAGCCUGAUCCAGCAAUGCCGCGUGAGUGAUGAAGGCCCUAGGGUUGUAAAGCUCUUUUACCCGGGAAGAUAAUGACUGUACCGGGAGAAUAAGCCCCGGCUAACUCCGUG